AGUGAACGCUGGCGGUAGGCCUAACACAUGCAAGUCGAACGGCAGCACAGUAAGAGCUUGCUCUUACGGGUGGCGAGUGGCGGACGGGUGAGGAAUACAUAGGAAUCUACUUUUUCGUGGGGGAUAACGUAGGGAAACUUACGCUAAUACAGCAUACGACCUACGGGUGAAAGCAGGGGAUCUUCGGACCUUGCGCGACUGAAUGAGCCGAUGUCGGAUUAGCUAGUUGGCGGGGUAAAGGCCCACCAAGGCGACGAUCCGUAGCUGGUCUGAGAGGAUGAUCAGCCACACUGGAACUGAGACACGGUCCAGACUCCUACGGGAGGCAGCAGUGGGGAAUAUUGGACAAUGGGCGCAAGCCUGAUCCAGCCAUACCGCGUGGGUGAAGAAGGCCUUCGGGUUGUAAAGCCCUUUUGUUGGGAAAGAAAAGCAGCAGGUUAAUACCCCGCUGUUCUGACGGUACCCAAAGAAUAAGCACCGGCUAACUUCGUG
rnacentral:rRNA from 1 species